AUGAAAUGGGCCAUUCAUGAUAAAUUCAGCCAUUGGCUGCGAGGGCAUAAGUUUACUGUGUGGACCGACAACAAUCCACUCAAAUAUAUUCUUACAAAGCCGAGACUUGAUGCAUGCGAGCAGAGAUGGGUUGCAAAGCUGGCACCCUUUGACUUUGAUAUCCAGUACAUACCAGGUCCCAAGAAUGUCGUUGCUGAUGUUUUGAGCAGAGAGCCAUUUGUCCGCUCCACAGUUCUGCACCGACUGACAAGAAUUCCAUAUGAUGUCCUGCUGGAGGAAGCCAGAGGUCUUCGAGUGGAUGAUGUUCAAGACAUGUUCCGCCUCUCCUGUGAACAGCCCGAGGCUGGCUGUGGAACGUCUAUGGCUCCUGGGAGUGAGUUAAGUAGAGUUAAUCGCACGCUGGGGGGGAUGAUUAGAGCUCUGCCAGCUAGGUCCAAGGCUAAAUGGCCUCAGAUGUUGAACACAUUGACAUUCUCCUAUAACUGCACUGUUCACGAGACUACUGGGUUUCCGCCCUUCUUCUUGAUGUUUGGACGCACCCCUAGGUUGCCAGUAGAUGUUAUGUUUGAAAGUGUGCUGUUGGAUGGGGACACGGUCGAUGUGGAUAAGUAUGUCCAGUCUUUGGGUGAGGAUCUGAGAGAAGCCAUGACAUUGGCUCAGCAGCAUGCAAGUAAGCAACAAAAGAGACAAGCCGAGGUCUACAACAGACGGUCGAAGGGUCAUUCGGUAGAGAAGGGAGACAGAGUUCUACUUGCUAACAAGGGAGAGAGGGGCAAGAAGAAACUGGCUGAUCGCUGGGACAGUGCGGUGUACAUAGUUGUUGCGAAGAACAGCUCACUGAACACAUAUCGUAUACAGCACCCUACCACUGGACGCAUCAAGACGGUGCAUAGGAACCUGAUUAUGCCAGUCAACUUUCUGCCUUUGCCUUCAUGGGAGGAACCUGAGAGUCACGGAUAUCUAUCGAGUGGUGACGUGUUCUCUGAGAUGUCUGCAGCGUCCAGCAAAAUGGAUGGGAGUGACGCAAGGACUGUCCACUGGGUAGCAAGCCUUCCUGAGUCUUCUGGGAGGAUAUUCCAAGAAGAUGGUGUAGUCCCAGUUGAUGGAAGUGAAGUGGAACGGCCAUAUGACGUCCCCUUGAGUGAGGUGUGCUCAGUAGAAGUGGACCAGAGAGAGAUCCCCAAAGCAUACAAGAGUUCUGAUGGCGAAACUCCAUUCAGUGGGGAUGGUGCUGUGACAGAUGUUGUUAACUUGGUUGAAGAUGCUUUGUCAGUGUGGUCUGUGGCAAUCUACCAGGAUUCUGAUCAGUCGUCUGACACUACUAGUGUUGAGUCUGUAACUGAAAGUGUGCUGGCUCCGGAUAGGCCGAGUUGUAGUAUUCCCAAACCUGAGGUUAGGCCUCUGAGCACGGUUAGGGCUGUCCGUGACAUUCCUGCUAGGUUUUUGGGUGAGGGUGUUCGGACUAGACUAGGUAGAUUUAUUAAGCCAGUGGAUAGGUUAAUCCAAACUAUGUCUACACAGGAAAUGAAACCGUUCUUGGUUUCUCAGUGA
ensembl:lncRNA